rnacentral:rRNA from 1 species
UACGUAGGGGGCAAGCGUUGUCCGGAAUCAUUGGGCGUAAAGAGCGUGUAGGCGGCCCGAUAAGUCCGCUGUGAAAGUCCAGGGCUCAACCCUGGGAUGCCGGUGGAUACUGUCGGGCUCGAGUCCGGAAGAGGAGUGUGGAAUCCUGGUGUAGCGGUGAAUGCGCAGAUAUCAGGAGGAACACCAAUGGCGAAGGCAGCACUCUGGGACGUGACUGACGCUGAGACGCGAAAGCGUGGGGAGCAAACAGG